CAUUACUUAUGAUCUGGUAAGCUUUUUUGGAAAGCUAAACUUCCUUCUAUUUAAAACAAUGAUAGAAUAGCCUUUUAGUCAACACCUGUGUCUAACACAGCAAUCUUAUGGUAAACAACUCAAUGACUCACUUCUGCCUUUAUUAUCAACCCUUUAGAAUCCUGUCCUUAAAGUAUCUCAAUUACUUGGCCUAAGCUAACUUUAAAAUAGAUCAUGUUGCUACCAUCACGUUUGUUUCUGUGUAGGCCAUUUUCCCUGGAUGAAUGAACAGAAAGACAAGUGCUCCAGCUGAGAAGGUGCUGUUGACGGGUAUGUGGGAAGCCCCAGUUAUGACCAUGAAUUUGCCAGAUGCACCACAACAUUCUCUUCUGCCGAGGGGAGGCUGGGCAAAUGUGGGGGCAGAAUUGAUGGGGAGGUUGAAGGGCAGAAUUAGUUGCUAGGCAGGGGGACAGGCAGAUGUAGACAUGAGAGCUCCUGUAGUGGGGGCCAAAAUUACCUUAAUUUGGGAACAUUGGCAACACUAAUUGUCACACACACCAACCAGGAGCAGUUUGCAAAAAUCAAAACCGACAAAAAACAUGAUAUAAUCUCUCUCUAAAAACACUUAUGAUUUUUGGCUCUGUGAUGGGAUGUACCCCCCACUCAAGGCAGAGUAGUUUAAAUCAGGUCAUUUGACCUUAUAGUCACUUAGAGGAGAGGCAGGGAUCAAUAAACCCUAAUGGAAGAUGAAGUUCAGCUGGGAAGGAGCAGAUUGGGCCUGUAUAAAGGGAGGAAGCUGAAACCAGAAGGGGGCUGAAGGGGAAAUAGUCUACAGUUACUCAUUGGGAGUUUAGGUAGUAAAUCUACCAUGGAAGGCCAGAAGACAGAGACAGAGUAAAAAGUCCAGGGAAAUAGCAACUGGGUCUGGGAGCAAACAGACUGUAGUUGCUGGAUAUGGGGUCCCUGGGCUGGAACCCGGAGUAGUUGGCAGGCCUGGGUUCCCCUACCAGCUGUUAGCAAAGUGGCACAAGACCUGGUCUUGGACCAGAAGACUGUCUGGAAUGUUGUGAGGACAGCUGAUCCCAGAGGGCUUUGAUACCCUGGAAGGUGAGGACUAUACAGCAAUUUGGCGGAAGGCUGAGUCACAGACAGGGAGCACCAUCACAUGAGCGGAUGAGCACUUGCAAGCCAUAUGGUUGCACAGGACACUCCUGGGAGCAAUCAGGGGCCUUCCACCAUCUUAGGACAAGAAGCAGGAGAGCACUCCUACGGGAAAAUCUAGCCUACUAGUUUAGGAGAGAGAACAUCAGGCAUGUCUGAAAAAGGUGCAAAGACCCUUGAAGAUUUUAGCACAUCAGAGGAUGGGGCCUGCAGAAAUCAACCUUUGGAGCCUUAAACCCUGAACUCUCACUGACGCAGCAGAUUCUUCAUACCAUAGGUCACCCAGCUUUUUGUGCUUUGUUACAAUGACUAAGUAUUUGAUCAGGUAGAAGCAAGACUAUUGAUGGGCCUGCCCCUUCCACCUCUGCUGACCUUGUACACUGCAAAGUCCCCAUGGAGUGAUUUCCAGUGAGUAUGUAACAGAGAUGAAAUCUCCCCUUUGUGUGUGUGUGGAGGAUGCCCUGAGCAAGGCCCUCAGGACUGGCCCAUAAUGGACAGAUAAGCUUCUGUAUUUGUGCAGUUUGGCUCUUGAAAUCCCUGUCACAGAUCUACCUAUAAAAAUUAAA